UAUCAUUAUUUUGACUAUUUGGGGUUAACUGACAGGGCCCAUGUUUGGCAGAAAUUGUGCAGUAGGUCUAGAUGCUGCUGUAGACCCUCUUUUGUGGGUGUCAGCAGCAAUAGAUCAUCAGCAAACAGGAGGCAUUAGACUUCAGUGUCUCUUGAAAGCCUGUUUAUCUAACAGUCCAAGCACUCAAAAUGUUUAUAUAAACAUUGGUGACUAAAGGAACAGUUAUAAAUGUGGGUUUUAUAAAGUAGACAGUACACCCCCUCCCCCCCCCCCCAAAGUAACAUCGAACAUAAUAAAAUAAAAAGACAGACAAUGUAAACACUUAACAAAGAAAGUGAGGAAAACCAAGGAGGGUGUUUGAGAAAAGGGGCAGGGUCUGGUAGUCGGCGAGGAGGCCUCAGGUCAAAGGCAGGGUCUGGCAGCCUGGGAGGAGGUGAUAUGACUGGGCAAUGGCCGCUGGGCAGGUGGGAGAGAACAGGGCAGCAAUUGCUGGACAGGGUUCAGGGGAGUGGCUCAGGGGACAUAGCUGUGAACAACUCAGAUGUGGACACUGAUAGCCACAGUGGAACAGCCUCUGUGGUCAUGAGCACUGGCAGCUGCAACAGGGGAAUGGCUUCCGUGGCUGUGAAAACUGGCAGUGACAGGAGAACAGCCUUUGUGGCUGUGAGCACAGAUAGUGACUGGUGAACAGCUUCCGAGGUUGUGCGAACAGGCAGUGACAGGGGAACAGCCUACGUGGCUGAGAGCAUAGGCAGUGACAUGGGAACAUUCUCCAUGGCUGAGAGCAUGAGCUGGGAUGGGGGAACGAUACCCAUUUUCAUGGGAAGUGGCAGGGGAGCAGCCUUCGUGGCUGUGAACACAGGCAGGGAUAGGGGAAUGACCUCCAUGGUUGUGGGAUCUGUCUCUUGGACGGAUGAGGCUUCAGGCACCAACUCUGGGACGGACAAGGCUUCAGGAACAGGCUCAUUGACCGUGGCAGGUGUGGGCUCGUUUGAAGUGGAAGGCAUCAGCGUGGGCUCGUUGGCCAUGGCGGGCAUAGGCGUAAGCUCGUGGGCGUGGCGGGCAUGGGCGCAAGCUCAUUGGCCGUGGAAGGUGUGGGUGCAGACAGCAGCAGAGGAACUCCCCUUGUGGCCUUGGACAUAGGCAGUGGUAGGGAAAUGACCCUCGUGGCCGUGGACAUUGGCAGUGGCAGAGAAACGGCCUCAGUGAUUGUGGGCGCUGACAGCAGCAGGGAAACGGCCUCCAUGGCUGUGGAAGCUUGCAGUGGCAGAGGAGCAGGCGUCUGGCUCCUCCUCCUCCUCCUCCCCUGGGCUGCGAUCGGUUCUCCACACUGCAGCGUUACUGGGUUGAACACUUGACAGAGCUCGACACUGAAAUCCAGGAACGAGGCACAUCAUGGGCAUGUAUUGCCCACAUGGCGAUUCCCCAAUCAGCAGCCUUUCCGGUGAGGUGCAAGAUGGUGUAAGCCACCAUCAUACUCUCCAUUGGGAAAGCAGAGGGCAGCGAAGUGAAGCGAGGGCAGCGAAGCGAAGUAACAGCACACAUCGGGACAAAAAGGCGCUACAGGAUCCUUUACCUGAGAAUGGAGCUAUAGGGAGGAUGCACAUUUCUGGGCGCCAGCCGCACCUGAAACACAUAAGGGCAAAAUGUAAACACGCUUUGACAAAAAAUAGACAGGGGAUGAUGAUGUCGUGGUCCUUGUCAGACAAAACCCAACCUGACGGGUUGACAGGACCAUGACAUCACUGGAGAGCGUGCGGCAGUAAAAUGCACACAGUGGUCCCAAACAACCGGACCUGUGCGCUCAAACAAAGGGAGUAAACAAAACACUGAGGCAGGCCGAUACUGACAAUUAUAUGUGUUACUUCAUGGAUUGUGACAUUCAGGUCCGUAUAUAAUAUUAUUGAAAUUAUAUCAGUUGGUUGUAAUGUUCUAGAGCCCAGUCGGUUGUGUAAUUUGAUUGACAGGAGGGGGCGGAGUCUCAGUUACACAACAGUAUUUGACCUACUUUCAGUUCCAGAACAUUCUCCCUUAGCCACUCAUUACUGCCCUCUUUCUAUUGUCGAUGUUAAUGAGCAUUAUUUGGUUCAUUUGCAUUACGGUAAUGAGAAUUGAGUUAAAUGUGUGCAAUUGUCAUGCAAAUGUCACAAUGUAAAAAAUAGCCUUAAAAAUGGACUUGAUUUUAUUUAUGCCAAAUAUAAUUUCUUACUUGUUUCAUUUUAAUUUUGGAGUGAAAUAAGACCAGGACAUUUUCUUGACCGUUUAUGGGAGAAUCACCAAUUUGAGGCCUUUUUUGGAGCUGGAUAACCGUGAACUGCCAUUAUCAUCUUGAAAUCUUCUACUGAGCAUCGGCAAAGCGAAUGCCACCAAGAUUCUGGGAGUCCAGAACUAAGAGCUGCCGGCUAGCUUAAAGGAGCUGGAGGAGGAAGAGAAGAGGAGAUCUUCGUCAGUUAAAGAAGAAAGGGUGAGGACUGACCAGGUACUACAGAAGACACCAGCACAGGGACAAUCCCCCCGGAGCAACCUGGAUUAAGUGCCUUACUCGAGGACACAAUGGUGGUGGCUGUGGGGAUCGAACCAGCAACCUUCUGAUUAACAGUUAUGUGCUUUAGUCCACUAUGCCACCACCUCUCCAUAAAGAUGUGCUACGAACACACACUGACUGACCAAUGUUAUGCAGAACUUAAGCCAAAUGUUUAGCAUAUUUGUAUUGAUUUUUAACAUUGCAUGAGUGGAGUAAUACUCCAGUUAAUUUAGUAAAAUUCUCAUUUAUCCUUUUGGAUUUAUCUUUGAUUUUGGGACAUUUACUUUUCAAAAUGUAAUUGCGCGAUGUACUUCCCUAACCUGGGUCACCAUGUAAUCUGUCUCCUCAGAUAUUAAUGAUUUUGCCUGAUGGAUUUAAUGGAUUGAUGAUCAGCUCAUGUGCGGAUUAGGUAACAGUACACACUAAAGAGUAUGUACAAUACUUGAGUGUAUGAUAGAGAGUGUGUGUGCGUUUGUAAAUGAGUGAGCAAACGAGUAAGUGCACAUGGCUAUUAAUCCUCUCACUGUGUGUAGGAGCAACGUUUAGCUUUUUUUUAGACAUUUGUUUUGUAUUUUUUUGUAUUGCUUCUGUUCCUGUAGAGUUAAACUCCUGCACCCUUUGGACAAAGAGGGAGAGAGGGAUGGGCCACCUGACAUGAAUGACACCAACUUUAAGUAUUCAAUGCACAGCCUUGUGUCAAAAAAAUAGAGCACACGCACCAACUUCAUUAAAGGGCAAUUCUUCAAUUUAGGGCAGUGGUUCGCAACCAGGGGACUUCAGCAAACUUCCAAGGGGGCCUCAAGACGUCUUACAAUUAUUUAAAAAGUUAAAUUUACAGUAUAUUAAAAUAAUCUUAACAUAGCAUAAAAAACUAAACAAACAAAAAAACUUAUUUUAAUUCAAUAACUCCAUUCAAUGACUGUUUUUGUUGAAGAUCAGUUCUUAAAAAUUCUGGAAUCACAAAAGUAAUUAUGAAUAAUUAAUUGUAUCUAUUGACAUUCCACAUUUAUAUUAAUUCAACUUUGUCAUCAUUACAGCUGAAAUACCAGAGGAAAUACUGUAUUGUUGAGAAUCAUUGAUUUAGGGCACAUUUCUGUUCCCUUGGGUGACUUGAAAGAAAAAAGCGUUAAAGAAUCAAUUGGGAAAAUAUGUGGGUAGAUUUUAAUCUUUAAGCUUUUUUUUCAUUGUCACUUUAAUCACUUUCUCCUAAUUGUGGAAGUUAAAUUAAAAAAUAUCUAUACUUUGACUUGUAACUUCCAGAUAAAAAUAUAUAAUGAAUUUACUAUAGAGUAAAUGUAUGUCAAUUUAAGUGUUAAAAUCAGAAAUUUUACUUUGCACGAAUAAAUCCAGGAGAAAUGUUUUCACGGAGAUGAAACUUCUAAAAUUGGUUGAAAUUUUCAGGAUUUCAAGUAGACAAAAAUGCAUCUAAUUGAAGAAUCACCCACAAACAUAUUUCACCUUACAUAUAUCUGGCCUUCUUGGACUCUACUAGGACAUACUGUACAACUUUUCAUUGACCAGAAUCCCGUGUGUCCAGUGAAGACCAGAGAAAUCUCACUACUCGUGACGGAUGGGGGUUUGGACAAACAUACUGUAUAUUUUCUCAAUAGUCUCUUUAAGGUAAAAUGUGAUACCAAUGAUAAUGAGGCUGAAACCUCUCAGACGUCACCACAGAGGAAGCCAAUUGCCUUCAGCAUCAACGUAACUUCAAACCUACAUUUAAAUAGUACAAAUGUCUAUUCCAAUACACUGUUUACAAUUGACACGAGCAUUCGGUGUGUUUGUGCUUAAGUAUAUUUGACCUUUUUGCAUUCACAGAAUGCUGUUGCCAAACCUUCAAACAGCCCAACGCUCAAUGAGAGUAAGGUCACUUCAAGAGCCGACAGCGUGGCGGACAGAAAACCAUAUGGACUGUGGGUCCCCAUCAGCAAAUCGUCUCCUAAAAAUAAGACAGACUGACUCACUCACUCACUUUUACAUUUAUGCAUUUGGCAGACGCUUUUAUCCAAAGCGACUUACAGUGCAAUUAUUACAGGGACAAUCCCCGGAGCAACCUGGAGUUAAGGGCCUUGCUCAAGGGCCCAACAGUGGCAUCUUGGUGGUGCUGGGGCUUGAACCCCAAACCUUCUGGUCAGUAAACCUGAGCCUCAACCACUGAGCCACCACUGCCCCAUAUUAUGUACAUUUAGUUGUUCUUGUGCUGUAUGGUGAGAUAUUUCUAAAUACAGAGCACUGAAAACAUUCCUGGUGUGCACACUUGAGUGCUUGUCCUCAAGAAAUUGUGAUUCUAAGAGUACAAAAUGUUUUUUUUGCAAUUGUUUUAAUGAAGUUGAAAUGCUUACAUUUCUAGAAUAUCUCAUUAGCCUUUACCAUUGCCUUAAAGAUGUUAAAAAUUCACAAUCUAUUGUAUUUGUGCCUAUCAUUAAUUAUAAAAUUACAUUCUUCAGAGGUCCUAUUUCACCCCUAAAUUAAAAGAUAUUAUAUUUUGACUAAAAGAACAUAAAGCCCAAAUUCUCAUGACUGUAAAUGGACUUAAAUAUAAAUUAUUUAAUGAGAAUGCAAAAAAUGCAACAUUAACGCCAAGAAGUUAGAAAGCAGAUGACCGUAAAUCACUAAGGAUUAUUUUAAUGGCUUUGCAAUGUCAUGCAUCAUUAAGUUUGUAAAGACACAAAUAAAUAAAUUGAUAAAUUGUCACACAUUAUACAUACAUUUCUGCAUAUAUACAGUGAAAUUAUUUAUUUGUCACAUAUCCCAGCUAAGCUGGGGUCAGAGGGCAGGGUCAGCCAUGAUACGGUGCCUCUGGAGCAGAUGGGGUCAAGGGCCUUGCUCAAGGGCCCAACAGGGGUGUUUUAGCGCUUGAACCCCUGACCUUCUGGUCAGUAAACCAGAGCCUUAACCACUGAGCCACCACUGCCACCUGGUGGUACUGUAGGCAUUUAUUGACCAGGCCAGUGUGACAAUUAAAAUGCAAUGGUUUUAUACCAUUCACUCAGGUACAAAUAAAUGCUGGUAUUUUCAAGAAUAGGCCAAUUAAGUCUUAUUUUUCCUGUCUCGUCUACACUGUGAAGAAUGAAAUCUGAUUUAGAGCCAGUGGGGAAAAAAACCCUGUUCUUCAGUAGUCUGAACUCUGGGUGGCGCUGUUGCACUGUGUAUAUUUGUUGAAGAUGAUGAGGCAGGCAUACAUAAAAACAUCACAAACUUUUGUUCCGAGGAGUAUGUUGUACAGUGGUUGUUAAAAACCCCAUUAACAUUCCAUAAUUGCUUAAAAUGAAGAAAAGGUAGAAAACUAAUUCCAUAGAAAAUGAUCAGCAGAUGAUGUUGCAUAUCUGUAAGGCUUGUGCUACUAAGCCAUAUCAAGAAAUGUGCUCAUUGACAGAUACAAAUUUACAUUUACAUUUACGCAUUUGGCAGACGCUUUUAUCCAAAGUGACUUACAGUGCACUUAUUACAGGGACAAUCCCCCCGGAGCAACCUGGCGUUAAGUGCCUUGCUCAAGGACACAAUGGUGGUGACCGUGGGGAUCAAACC